rnacentral:rRNA from 1 species
UGCAGUCGGACGGGAUUGAGGAGCUUGCUUCUCAUGAGAGUGGCGCACGGGUGCGUAACACGUAUGUAACCUACCUUGUUCAGGGGGAUAGCCUCUCGAAAGAGAGAUUAACACCGCAUAAAAUCAAUUUAUGGCAUCAUAGAAUGAUCAAAUAUUUAUAGGAACAAGAUGGGCAUGCGGAACAUUAGCUAGUUGGUAAGGUAACGGCUUACCAAGGCUACGAUGUUUAGGGGAUCUGAGAGGAUGACCCCCCACACUGGUACUGAGACACGGACCAGACUCCUACGGGAGGCAGCAGUAAGGAACAUUGGUCAAUGGACGCAAGUCUGAACCAGCCAUGCCGCGUGCAGGAAGACGGCCCUACGGGUUGUAAACUGCUUUUGUACCGGAAUAAACCUUUUCACGUGUGAGAAGCUGAAUGUACGGUAAGAAUAAGGAUCGGCUAACUCCGUGCCAGCAGCCGCGGUAAUACGGAGGAUCCAAGCGUUAUCCGGAUUUAUUGGGUUUAAAGGGUGCGUAGGUGGCCUAUUAAGUCAGGGGUGAAAGACGGUAGCUUAACUAUCGCAGUGCCUUUGAUACUGAUGGGCUUGAAUACACUUGAGGUAGGCGGAAUGUGACAAGUAGCGGUGAAAUGCAUAGAUAUGUCACAGAACACCAAUUGCGAAGGCAGCUUACUAAAGUGUUAUUGACACUGAGGCACGAAAGCGUGGGGAUCAAACAGGAUUAGAUACCCUGGUAGUCCACGCCCUAAACGAUGAAUACUCGAUGUUGGCGAUAUACGGUCAGCGUCUAAGCGAAAGCGUUAAGUAUUCCACCUGGGGAGUACGCCCGCAAGGGUGAAACUCAAAGGAAUUGACGGGGGCCCGCACAAGCGGAGGAGCAUG